rnacentral:lncRNA from 1 species
UGGGCUUUUGUCAAAGGUUUUAUCUCCUGCUGCUGCUGCUGUUAAUUUACAAUCUAGGGAAGCGUUCUGCUUUGUAGCCUUGUGUUUCCCUUGAGAUGCAGUCUUUGCUUUUCCACCAGCUUGCCAUUUGGAUUUCCCAUCAUCAUCCUUGUUUUCCAGUGGGACGCUCCAUGCAAUCAGGUUCCUUGCUGUACGUCCCUCUUCUGCCACUAUCUUCCUCACUUUGUCAUGGCUGUUGGAGCGCUGGAAAGAAGCCAUCACGUUAUAGCCUUCUUCUGCAUCAGCAGGCUCACUGAUUGCAUUUUUGGAGGACCCCAUUGAGUUUUCAUACGCUCUCCGUCGCACCGCUCCGUCCCGCCCGCGCGCGUCCCGCCGCGGUGAUGUCAUCGCAUCCCGCCGCCAGCGCCCGUCCGCCCGCCGCCGCACGCCGCGCCUGCCCCCCCGUAGCCGGCGGCCGCGCAUGCGCCGCCCGCACCGGUGAAGGCAUUGCCCUCACCUUGCCCACCCGCGGCGCUCUCCAGCCGCCGCCCGAGCACCUGCCGCGCCGCCUGCCGCCGGGGGGCGCUGCGGAGCCCUGAGGCGCGUUCCGGAGCGCGGCGCCCCGUUCGUUGUGGGGAAAGCUCGGGCGGGCGGCGCCGUGCUGCCUCAGAGGGAGAGCGGGGCACGGAGCGCUCCUCUUCCUUCAGCCACUAACGGCUGCGCUGCGCGCAGGGGUAGAAAAAUACGUCUGUCGUGUCUGCAGAGCCUGGAAUGCUGCAGGACGAUCCGCGCCGGGAGCCGUGACAGAAACUCGCUCUUCUCCCGGGGAGAAGCGUCAAACCCAACGAAAGCCUCAGGCAAACCCCAGUUAACCACUGUCAGUGAUAAAUGGACCUCCGAGGGCCCAAUGCCGGGCACGUUUUCAGCUCUGAUGAGCGGCAGACGGGGCCCCGCUCGCUUUGCAGCCCCUUUUCCACUCGGCGUGCCGUACAGCCGUACCGCCGCACCCCGCUCGCUCUCACAGCGCUACCCGCGCUCCGCAGCGCCGGUUGGGAUCGCCGUCCCGCACGGGAGAGCUCUGCUCCGUUCUGACGG